GACAGAGGGUGCAAACGUUGCUCGGAAUCACUGGGCGUAAAGGGCGUGUAGGCGGGAAUGUAAGUCGGGCGUGAAAUCCCUAGGCUCAACCUAGGAACUGCACUCGAAACUGCGUUUCUUGAGUAUCGGAGAGGAAAGCGGAAUACCUGGUGUAGAGGUGAAAUUCGUAGAUAUCUGGAGGAACACCGGUGGCGAAGGCGGCAUCCUGGACCAUUACUGACACUGAAAAGCGAAAGCCAGGGGAGCAAACGGG
rnacentral:rRNA from 1 species